rnacentral:misc_RNA from 1 species
GAAAUGCGAUACUUGGUGUGAAUUGCAGAAUCCCGUGAACCAUCGAGUCUUUGAACGCAAGUUGCGCCCGAAGCCAUUAGGCCGAGGGCACGCCUGCCUGGGUGUCACACAUCGUUUCCCCAACGCAAACGUUUGCGUUGGGG